rnacentral:rRNA from 1 species
GAUGAACGCUAGCUACAGGCUUAACACAUGCAAGUCGAGGGGUAACGAGAGGGAAGCUUGCUUUCCUUGUCGACGACCGGCGCACGGGUGAGUAACGCGUAUCCAACCUGCCCCCAACUAGGGAAUAACCUUGCGAAAGUAAGACUAAUACCCUAUAAUUUCCUCAGAUGUCAUCUGACGAGGAAUAAAGAUUUAUCGGUUGUGGAUGGGGAUGCGUCUGAUUAGCUUGUUGGCGGGGUAACGGCCCACCAAGGCAACGAUCAGUAGGGGUUCUGAGAGGAAGGUCCCCCACAUUGGAACUGAGACACGGUUCAAACUCCUACGGGAGGCAGCAGUGAGGAAUAUUGGUCAAUGGGCGGAAGCCUGAACCAGCCAAGUAGCGUGCAGGAUGACGGCCCUGUGGGUUGUAAACUGCUUUUAUACAGGAAUAAAGUUAGCCACGUGUGGUUAUUUGUAGGUACUGUAUGAAUAAGGACCGGCUAAUUCCGUGCCAGCCGCCGCUGUAA